GGGUGAGCUCCCGUUGCUCGGUCCCUGCUCCUGCCAACCUAGCAGUUCGAAAUCACAGCAAAGUGCAAGUAGAUAAAUAGGUACCGCUCCGGCAGGAAGGUAAACGGCAUUUCCGUGCGCUGCUCUGGUUCGCCAGAAGCGGCUUAGUCAUGCUGGCCACAUGACCCGGAAGCUGUACGCCGGCUCCCUCGGCCAAUAAAGCGAGAUGAGCGCCGCAACCCCA